AAGCGCUUGCAGCCAGACUUGCCUGUAGUUGCUCAUCCGGGCUUUUGCCCGGUGCACUCUUCUGCGGGCAGGCCAGCAUCAGUUUGGGCGGUUGGAUAAAGGUCUCUGUCAUGUACCUCCUUUCGGGGAGAACUUAUAGGGGAGAC
rnacentral:rRNA from 1 species